rnacentral:tRNA from 1 species
GAGGCCUUAGCUUAAUUAAAGCAUUUGAGUUGCAUUCAGAGGAUGUGCAGUAGACAUGUGCAGGUCUUA